rnacentral:rRNA from 1 species
CGGAACGGGUGAGUAACGCGUGAGGAACCUGCCUCAAAGAGGGGGACAACAGUUGGAAACGACUGCUAAUACCGCAUAAGCCCACAGGUCGGCAUCGACCAGAGGGAAAAGGAGCAAUCCGCUUUGAGAUGGCCUCGCGUCCGAUUAGCUAGUUGGUGAGGUAAUGGCCCACCAAGGCGACGAUCGGUAGCCGGACUGAGAGGUUGAACGGCCACAUUGGGACUGAGACACGGCCCAG